GGCAAAAAAAAACCUCACCGAGUCGUCUUCACACGCAGUCCUCUCUUCCCAGUCUCGUUCACUUCACACGCAGGGCUCAUCUUCCCCACCGACUCAGAAAAAACUCACCUCCUCGUCUCACUUGCGCUGCCUCCUCUUUCACCACCAUUUGGACAUUUCGUUUUUCAGAGGCAGAUAGUAAAAGAACAGGCCUUUGCGACACAGCUAGCUUAUCCACAUUAGAGUACAUUGGGUGGGCAAUGGCAAGGCAAAGAUGCUUCCUUUUUGCACUCUAAUGAGCAUGGAAACAGAGAAGUUGGUAGGAAUUGGGACACUAGUGGUCUUGAAGGCUCAGCUCUCAAUAUGGUUGAAGGUGACCGCAGCUCUAGGAACUGGCGGAAAAAGCUUGAAUUGGUAAGUGAGGUCAUAGUUGGGAGUCUUGAGAGGGAGGAACGGUUGAAGGCACUCAUAUACUCUGUUUAAGUGUCUCUGUUUUAGGUUUGCCUCGUGUAUUUGUUGUUUGUUUGUUGUUUGAAUUUUCUGAAAACAAGCUCCUACUUUGUUAUGAAUUACUCUGUGUUUUUUUUUGCUGUCUACUUUGAACUUUGUUUGUUGUUGUUGGUUGUGUUCUGUUUGUACUUUCAAUUGAUGAUAUAAAUGCGUUCUUGUUCUCAUGUUGUUCUUGUCGUGCGUCAUUAU